rnacentral:sRNA from 1 species
GUUUGGGAAAGAGAAUAUUGGAAUUCAUAUUUCUUUAAAUCAUUCUUUUAAACUUUUAAUUUUUAUGUAGUUUUAGUAGAUCUUAUUUGCUAGUACUGUGUCAUCUUUUUGGCUGUAUUUUUCACUGGCUGCCACCUGGCCAAAUCACCACUUGGGUUAUAACAGCAGCCUCUGACUGGUCUCCCUCCGUCUGACCUUGGCCCCUGCACUCUACUCUCAACGUAGCUCUCAGAGUGAUGGAACUCAGAACUUGUCACUCCUGCUCAAAAACUUCCAGUUUCACCCAGGGGAAGUAUCAAGGUGACACUAGGGGACAGGAAAUAUUGUCCCUAAAUGUUCUAAGAGUGGAUCUCCCAUGUAUUCAAGCAAUCGAGGGGUGUUUAAUGAGCUCCGUCUACAUAGCAAUGAUACAGCAUAGCUCUGCUGGGGCUCUCUGCUCUCCCCUUCUCCACAAAAGGGAAGGACAGGUAAGAACAGGCACAAUAAAAUAGAAACCAGACAGAAAGAAUUGGGAACAAGGAGACAAGACAAGAAUCAUGCUUUACGUGAUUUAAUCCUAAUAUUUUUAUGAGAGGAUGGCUAUCAUCAUUUCAUUUUAAAGAUGAGGAAAAUGAAGCCGGGUGCGGUGGCUCAUGCCUGUAAUCCCAGCACUUUGGAAGGCCGAGGAAGAUGGCUCACCUGAGGUCAGGAGUUUGAGACCAGCCUGGCCAGAGAGAUGGCCAGAGAUGGCUAGAGAUGGUUGCUGCAAAUGCCAUUAUUUCAUUCCUUUUUAUGGCUGAGUAGUAUUCCAUGAGGGAAGGAAUUAGGAGCGGGAAGGAGAUUGACUGUUAGUUUCUUAGGAUUGGACUAACAAAAGUGGAGGUUGUUACUUACACUGCAAAAGAAACAACCAGAGCUGUGUCACUCAGAAGGCUGAAAAGAAUCAGGCUGACAGCAUAAUGCAGUGAAGAUGGGUGAAGAGAGAUGUGUUCCAUCUGAAAUUUGAAGGGCUUUACAACUCUUCUCCUUUAACUAACUUACCAUCCUUUAACUAACUUACCACCCAAAAUGAAUUCUGUAGCCUUUUUCA